AGAGUUUGAUCCUGGCUUAGGACGAACGCUGGCGGCGUGCUUAACACAUGCAAGUCGAACGAUGACGAUGGUGCUUGCACCGUCUGAUUAGUGGCGAACGGGUGAGUAACACGUGAGUAACCUGCCCUCCUCUUCGGGAUAACCGCCGGAAACGGUGGCUAAUACCGGAUAUGAAUGCCUGCCGCAUGGUGGGUGUUGGAAAGAUUUAUCGGUGGGGGAUGGACUCGCGGCCUAUCAGUUUGUUGGUGAGGUAAUGGCUCACCAAGGCGAUGACGGGUAGCCGGCCUGGGAGGGCGACCGGCCACACUGGGACUGAGACACGGCCCAGACUCCUACGGGAGGCAGCAGUGGGGAAUAUUGCACAAUGGGCGAGAGCCUGAAUGCAGCGACGCCGCGUGGGGGAUGACGGCCUUCGGGUUGUAAACCUCUUUCAGUAGGGAAGAAGCGAGAGUGACGGUACCUGCAGAAGAAGCGCCGGCUAACUACGUGCCAGCCGCCGC
rnacentral:rRNA from 1 species